rnacentral:rRNA from 1 species
ACACUCCUGCGGGAGGCAGCAGUGGGGAAUUUUGGACAAUGGGCGAAAGCCUGAUCCAGCAAUGCCGCGUGUGUGAAGAAGGCCUUCGGGUUGUAAAGCACUUUUGUCCGGAAAGAAAUCCUUGGCUCUAAUACAGUCGGGGGAUGACGGUACCGGAAGAAUAAGCACCGGCUAACUACGUGCCAGCAGCCGCGGUAAUACGUAGGGUGCGAGCGUUAAUCGGAAUUACUGGGCGUAAAGCGUGCGCAGGCGGUUUGCUAAGACCGAUGUGAAAUCCCCGGGCUCAACCUGGGAACUGCAUUGGUGACUGGCAGGCUAGAGUAUGGCAGAGGGGGGUAGAAUUCCACGUGUAGCAGUGAAAUGCGUAGAGAUGUGGAGGAAUACCGAUGGCGAAGGCAGCCCCCUGGGCCAAUACUGACGCUCAUGCACGAAAGCGUGGGGAGCAAACAGGAUUAGAUACCCCUGUAGUCCCAU